UGAUGGAAUGUAUGAGGUGUUGGAUAGGAGUACUGUUGAAGAGCAAGCAGCAAUGCUUGUACAGUAGUGAAAAAGUUACAGAUGGUAGGUCCUAUUCAGGGUUAGCAGCAGUACAAUAAUGUUAGGGAGGGUAAACUGUGCUGAUGCAAUGCAGUCAAAAGUGGCAUGCCACAUGGCAUAACCUACAUCUUAUCUGACCAUGUGAAACAUUAUUACGGUAUUGUACUGCUUUUAGUAGUUUCUAUUUAUUACAAGUAAGUUUAAUGUCUGAUUUUUAGAAUAUGUAAUUGCGGAAAUACUCUUUCCAUAAGUUACAUAUCCAAAGUCAUUUUAUUUUUUAACAUUUUCAUUUUAUCUCUUACUAGAGUGGCUCACGGUACAAGACCCUACCAAGGUCAUGUCUCUGUUUCGGGAAUCUAUUCUUAGCCAUCAUGAAAGUAAGAAUCCCUUACUUCUCAGCAUAAAUAUUAGAAAGAGCCCUGCUGAACAAGACGCUGUGCUCAUCUGCUUCUAUAAGAAGCCGAAUGUGGAAUGGGCAUGACCCUUGAAUUGCAGACUUGAAGGUAGCUUCAAUUUCAUGUCAAAGUAGUUAAAGCCUACCUUAAGUAUUGCUUUUCCCUUUUACUAUAUCAAACCCUCCAUUGUGUUACAGGUGAUGCAGCCAUUGGAGAGGGUGUGAGUCACUUUUUCCUCUCAACUUGCAUGAACAAGCUAAAGUCUGGGUUUUGCUUCAACUUUGCAAACACUGCUGUUACACAUCUCUUUGAUGGACAGCCAGGCCAUUUAGUGCCCUCAGCCUCUUAGUUUCUCGUGGAAAGUGACAUGUUCGUCAUGGCAGGCAGAAUGGUGGGGCACUCCUUUGUUCAUGGAGGACCAUUCCUGUCAGGGCUUAGCCCUGCUGUUGUGCAUGUCCUGUUUGGAGGAAGCCCGGAAACUCCAACAGUAACACCAGAGGACUGUCCAGACCUAGACAUCCAUGAAACUAUCAGGCUUGUAAUUGGACGUGUCACACGACAAAUCAAACAAUUCAGGCGUGGUCUUAAAGAGACACCAAUGUGGACAUUGCUGACCAAACGACCUGACACAGUGGCCCAGCUUUUUCCACAGGAAAGAGCAGUGGAUUGUAACCCUGCGGUAACUUUUUACAAUUCGAUAUUAUUUGUGUGUGUAUAUUAUAUAGAUAGAAUCUAUGAUAAAGUGGUAAGAUUAUUAAAUUCAUGAUGUUUUUUGUCAAUGUAGAUGCAGCACAUCACCUGGCCUCAUGAAGAUGAUGAUGACGAAGACGACGAUUAUUCACUUGACACAAUAUGCCGCAUAUCAGGUUAUCUUAGCCACUUCAUUGAAAAUGAUAUGUGUACAGAGUUGGAAAUCUUGCCAAUGUGUUAUUAAAAUAAGUUAGUCACCCAAAGUUUUUAUUUAUAAGUGGCAGGUUACUUUUUAAACAGUUAGUUAUAGAAAUUGUUCAAUUCAUUAUUAAGGUUAUUAUUAAGACUGUCUUUGCACACCUGUAUAUAGGACAGGAAAAGUAGAUAACCACACACUCUUCACACACAGCUUUAUCAAUAGUAUUUUUUCAUACCUUUUUGACAUUUCACCAGGGUAUAUGGUGUUAUGGUAUUUCUGUUCAAGAAACUGCUUUAUUUGUUACAUAACAGAGCUACUAUGAUACAUUUAUUGAAUACUAAACAUUAUUUUAAUUUUCUUAAUUAUUUUCCAUUAUUUGUAGCAACCUAUCAUUUGAUCCAUUUUGUUUAAUCCACAGCAUCAGCUGAUGAAUUGACUGAAAUUUUGGACAGGGUGGGAGAUUAUGCCAAGUAAUAACCUAUCCAGUGAGGUGGUUAAAGGCAGCUUCCCAACAGCCUCCACCUGUUUUGAGACCCUGCGAAUCCCAGGACAUUACAAGGGCUAUGCAUCCUUUAAAAAUGACAUCCUGGCUUGUAUUGGCACUUGCCAAACAGGAUUUGGUCUUGUGUAGGGACAAAGCAGUGGUGAAUAACGUUACUGUUACUGAAUAACGUUAAUGCUAAAUGUUUAAAUGAUUGCAUAUUAAUAUGCUAAAUUACGAAUACAAAGUCCAUUGUUAUGUUUUUUGAUGGACAAUUAUAUUAAAUGGCAUGCAACCUGCUAGCAAUGGCAAUGUAGCAACUUCAAAGUUAAUGUCCUUUUAAAAAAAGUUUUAAGGAAAGUUGUACAAUGUACAAAUGGAGUUAAGCACAGAAAU
ensembl:lncRNA